CCUACGGGUGGCUGCAGUCGAGAAUCUUCGGCAAUGGGCGCAAGCCUGACCGAGCGACGCCGCGUGGAGGACGAAGGCCUUCGGGUUGUAAACUCCUGUCGAGGGGGAAGAAGGGGUAACACCUUGACUGAUCCCUGGAGGAAGCACGGGCUAAGUUCGUGCCAGCAGCCGCGGUAAGACGAACCGUGCGAACGUUAUUCGGAAUCACUGGGCUUAAAGCGCGUGUAGGCGGGACGACGCGUCGGUCGCUGAAAUCCCCCGGCUCAACCGGGGAACGGGCGCCGAUACGGUCGCCCUCGAGGGACGUAGGGGGACCUGGAACUUCCGGUGGAGCGGUGAAAUGCGUUGAGAUCGGAAGGAACGCCCGUGGCGAAAGCGAGGUCCUGGACGUUUUCUGACGCUGAGACGCGAAAGCCAGGGGAGCGAACGGGAUUAGAUACCCCUGUAGUC
rnacentral:rRNA from 1 species